AUUGAACGCUGGCGGCAUGCCUUACACAUGCAAGUCGAACGGCAGCACGGGAGCUUGCUCCUGGUGGCGAGUGGCGAACGGGUGAGUAAUAUAUCGGAACGUACCCUAGAGUGGGGGAUAACGCAGCGAAAGUUGCGCUAAUACCGCAUACGAUCUACGGAUGAAAGUGGGGGAUCGCAAGACCUCAUGCUCAUGGAGCGGCCGAUAUCUGAUUAGCUAGUUGGUGGGGUAAAGGCCUACCAAGGCUUCGAUCAGUAGCUGGUCUGAGAGGACGACCAGCCACACUGGAACUGAGACACGGGUCCAGACUCCUACGGGAGGGCAGCAGUGGGGAAUUUUCCGCAAUGGGCGAAGCCUGACGGAGCAAU
rnacentral:rRNA from 1 species